AUCAAACUGACGGAGAAACUGGACAUCAGCUUAACCAGGAUGCCCAAAUUAAUACUACUGAAACAAAAGGUUUCUUCUUUGGUGGUGCUAGAGAGAGUUGAUGAGCAGGAAGAAAGUGGCAGGAAUUGCUGGGUCUGACCUUCACUUCUGCUAAGCUUGGAGCUGCACUGAAGCUGUUUUAAACAAGAACAGAAAAAAACAACAACAACAACACAUAAGUUUCUGUCCCACUGAAGUUUGCAAUGGCAAGAAAAAAGAGGCUUACUUCUGCCCCUUUAGGACCAGACUCUGCAAAGGUACUAUAAGAAGUCAUUUGUUUUCUUUCAACAUAGUUCAGCUUCAGACAGGCACACACACAUUCAGAUGAUUUCCACUUGAAAUUCCUCCUCUAAUC
rnacentral:lncRNA from 1 species